rnacentral:rRNA from 1 species
ACCCGAAACCCGGUGAUCUAGCCAUGGGCAGGUUGAAGGUUGGGUAACACUAACUGGAGGACCGAACCGACUAAUGUUGAAAAAUUAGCGGAUGACUUGUGGCUGGGGGGGAAAGGCCAAUCAAACCGGGAGAUAGCUGGUUCUCCCCGAAAGCUAUUUAGGUAGCGCCUCGUGAAUUCAUCUCCGGGGGUAGAGCACUGUUUCGGCAAGGGGGUCAUCCCGACUUACCAACCCGAUGCAAACUGCGAAUACCGGAGAAUGUUAUCACGGGAGACACACGGCGGGUGCUAACGUCCGUCGUGAAGAGGGAAACAACCCAGACCGCCAGCUAAGGUCCCAAAGUCAUGGUUAAGUGGGAAACGAUGUGGGAAGGCCCAGACAGCCAGGAUGUUGGCUUAGAAGCAGCCAUCAUUUAAAGAAAGCGUAAUAGCUCACUGGUCGAGUCGGCCUGCGCGGAAGAUGUAACGGGGCUAAACCAUGCACCGAAGCUGCGGCAGCGACGCUGAUGCGUUGUUGGGUAGGGGAGCGUUCUGUAAGCCUGCGAAGGUGUGCUGUGAGGCAUGCUGGAGGUAUCAGAA